CUACGGGAGGCACCAGUGAGGAAUAUUGGUCAAUGGGCGCGAGCCUGAACCAGCCAUCCCGCGUGCAGGAUGACGGCCCUAUGGGUUGUAAACUGCUUUUCUAUGCCAAGAAACCUGAUUACGUGUAAUCAGUUGCCGGUAGCAUAGGAAUAAGCAUCGGCUAACUCCGUGCCAGCAGCCGCGGUAAUACGGAGGAUGCAAGCGUUAUCCGGAUUCAUUGGGUUUAAAGGGUGCGCAGGUGGGCUUGUAAGUCAGUGGUGAAAUGCUGCCGCUUAACGGUAGAACUGCCAUUGAUACUGCGAGUCUUGAGUAUGGUUGAGGUAGGCGGAAUGUGUUGUGUAGCGGUGAAAUGCAUAGAUAUGACACAGAACGCCAAUUGCGAAGGCAGCUUACUAAGCCAUUACUGACGCUGAGGCACGAAAGCGUGGGGAGCGAACAGGAUUAGAUACCCCUGUAGUC
rnacentral:rRNA from 1 species